rnacentral:ribozyme from 1 species
AUUUUUGUACCCUCCCCAAUUAUAUGUACGAAACUCAUUUUGAGAGAUUUUCUAAUAACUAGUUAUCAGAAAAUUCUUAUUAAUUAAUAUUCUACUAUUUUUUCUAGUUUUGUAAAGUUAUUUUUAAAAUAUUUAGAAAAUUUAUUUUACUUAACAAUAGUAACAUUCUAUUAUCU